GGAUAUAUUUUCUUCGCUUUCAGUUUAGUGAGCAAUUCAUGUCUGAAGUCGUUAUAUUGCACACAAUCAAAGAUUAAAUGUUGAAGACUUUCUAUGGAACCUGCAUUGCAUUUGAGGCAUAACGGAGUGAAAUAACAAUUUAUCUUAAAUAGGGUUUCAUUAACCCAAGCAUGUCCAAUUCUUAGUCUAUUUAUCGUUACUAUUUUAUUUCUACUCAGUUUGUAAUUAUUAUACCAUGGGGAGGGGCUAUCAGGGGCAAGUAGUGAUUGUUUAAUUGCGCCAACAAAAUCUUUCAAUGACACUUUAAAAUCUGUUGGUUCUUCACCUGCUUGGGUUGCCUCUUUUGCCAGCCUAUCUACAUGUUCAUUGGGACCUAUCCCCACAUGACUUACUACCCAUUGAAAAGUGAAGUAUUUAUUACCUCUCAUCAUGCAGAUUGUAAUGGCUGAUGCCAGAUUUUCUUCAUAAUCUGCUGAACUUGCUGCCUUUAUGGCUAGUAUAGCAGCUUUUGAGUCAGAACACACUACAAUGUUAUCAUAAUUUUGUUCGUUUGCUAUUUCAACAGCUUUCUUUAUGGCAUACAGUUCUGCGGAAUAGCUGGAUGCCUGGUUUGGAAGUUUAUAUUUGUAUUCUAUUGAAGUCCUGUAUAUACACGGCAGAGCCUGCGCCAUCCUUGCUUCGUGAGCCAUCAGUGUAAAUUCUUAGAUAGUUUUCAUAUUUCUUUCUCAUUAAUUCUAGAAAUAAUGCUUUAAUGGCUUCUGGUGGGAGUAAUGAUUUUUUCCCAACUGUGUCAUCAAUCUGUAGUUCAAAUGAUAUUUUUAAGUUCUUAAGCAGUAGGGGGCUAUCAACGAAUUCCAAAAGAUUUGAAUCACUUACUGCAAUAUUGUUUAGAUUCGCCAGAUUAUCUACUGUGUUCACCAGUUCCAUGUAUAGAGGUUUGGUUUUUUUGACCCAGUACUUAUGAUGAUAAGCUACUGCAUGUAAAUAUCUUAUAUUCACAUAGCAUGGGUGUUGUGGAUUACUUAGUGUUUUAAACAAUAUUUUCUCUGUUAAGAAUUCUCUCCUUAUAUGUAAGGGAGGUAAUGCUGCCUCUGCAUGCAGAGUAUUAGUUGCUAAGUGGAAGCAUCCAAGAGACAGGCUAAAGAUAAGAACUCAAAAUCCAUUCAAAUUGGGAACACCUGUAACUUAUGAGUUAAGAACACAUGAGCCAUGUCGAUUUUUCCUGACACCUAUAGUGAUGGCCUUUCUCCUUUACAUUGAGAGUUCAGGCCCUAUGGAUGACAAGGGCGAAGAUAUGAAUGGAGAUGAAGGUGAAAGAUUAAAACGGAAGAUGACCAGAAAAUGUCCAUUUGAGCACUAAACUCAAGAUUUUGUUUGCGUCAGAUGGCACUCCUAACAAAAAUACAAAUUUGUGGGCUCUGCCUUUCGCCCACUAGUUAAUACAGUAUACCACUUCACAGGCUAACUCCUACUGCUGUACUCCGGUCUUUAUUUUGAAGUGCAUAAACAUUAUGAGUUCAAUGGUGUCAUAGUUACAGUUGUUUAGGACUUGUUGCAGUAAUCUUUAAGUGCUUUAGUUCAAAAGCAUUGUGUAAUGUAUGUAUUGAAAUAAAUUAAUAUUGAUCAUUAAA